GUGGCGGACGGGUGAGUAAUGUCUGGGAAACUGCCUGAUGGAGGGGGAUAACUACUGGAAACGGUAGCUAAUACCGCAUAACGUCGCAAGACCAAAGAGGGGGACCUUCGGGCCUCUUGCCAUCGGAUGUGCCCAGAUGGGAUUAGCUAGUAGGUGGGGUAACGGCUCACCUAGGCGACGAUCCCUAGCUGGUCUGAGAGGAUGACCAGCCACACUGGAACUGAGACACGGUCCAGACUCCUACGGGAGGCAGCAGUGGGGAAUAUUGCACAAUGGGCGCAAGCCUGAUGCAGCCAUGCCGCGUGUAUGAAGAAGGCCUUCGGGUUGUAAAGUACU
rnacentral:rRNA from 1 species